CGACAUUCUAUCUGUGCAUAACGAUACUUUCCCUUUUCAGAUGCCAGACCAUCGAGCGUCCAACGAUACGUUUUUCCACGAUUUUAGCAAUAUUUGCUGUUUGGUAAACACAUUCGACGUGGCGCGUUUUUCAGUCAGGUUCUACACGUUUCAUCUCUACUUCUGAACGACAGGAAAUUUAAUACAGAGUGCUUCGAAAUCACGGUAUAAGCGGUUGCCAGAUGAUUCUGCACGCAAAAAUAGGUAGAAAAAGAAGAAUAACAUUGUUUCCUUUAACCUCUUGAUUUUUGUACGGGGCUGUUUCUCUGUACGACAGAGUUUGACGCGAAAACGAUACAGCACUGCAAUGUGUGACAGAUAAUGCUGUUCUCUACGCAAGAACAUUGGAACGAAGUUUUUGAUAAUUAAAUUAUAAUUUUUCUUAAAGGUAUGAUGCAUAUACUUUAACUUUAAUGAUUUACUUUGAUAAUUAAUAAUACAAUUGAGUGUGAUAUAUUUUGAAGUACCGUAUGAUACAUAGAAUUUGUCACAAUUUUUACACUCAUAGCGCUAUAGUGUUUUUCAAAUUGCUCUUCGUUUUCUAUUUUGAAGCUACGUUUUGAGGUUGAAGAUUCUAAAAAAUUAUGAGGAUACGAAUUGGCGUGUUAAAAAGAGCAUCUAUCAAUGGUAUAUUUAUUUUAACUAAAAGCAACAAUUGAUACCUGACACUGGCGUAUCAAAAACAAAGACUAUGUAUUCUGCCAGUAUAUUGUUAACACCGUUAUAAAACAUUGCGAUUGCAAAAAUAUGUGACAAAUAAAAUACAUCGUUUAGUUCAAACGGUGAGCGAAUGAGUAAGUAGAGUGGGCCACUAUAGUGGCGUAUCGUAAUAUAAGAUGAUAUCCGCGAAAGCCACUAUAGUGACGCAUCGUACUUAAGAGAUUAAGGCUUCGUUUUCAAGAAAAAUCAGUGUGUAGAUCCGCCAGGUAUCCGUGUGCUAAUUGUAGGUUUCCAGUUAGCCGACUUCUCUUUCCCCUCGUGUCGAUAUUUAUCAACGUGAACAGUGUCACGGUUUGCUUCCUAUCGUUGCUGUUAUCUUAUUUCCGCACUGUCCGCGUUUGGAAUGCUUUCAUAAAUAAGGACAAGGGUAUUACUUUUUGUAAAUCAUUUUAUUUACGUAACAAGUCGAUCGCGUUGCUGUACACAUAACUCUGCUUAUCUCAUUAAAUUAUAUAUAAUUAUAUUAUAUGGAAACUUACAAUUAGCACACGGCUAUCUGACGGAUCUUCCAGAUAAUUUCUCUGGAAAACGAAGCUUCAAAGGGAAAAAUGUUAUUCUUCUUUCCCGACUAUUUUUUGUCUCUAAAAUCACCAACCGAACGUUUGUAGCAUAAUUUCGCAGACACCCUGUAUACUUGGAGUCGAGUAGUAUAUGAAUGUUAUACUAAAUAGAGUGGCAGCCACAGUAUAGCUAUCAUUUUGAAUAAACACGUUUUAAACGAAUGUUCGUAGUAUAAUUAUAAUAAAACUUUACUCUCUGAUAAAAUUGAAACUUCGUACGGAGAUUGAAGUUAUAUAAUACACAAGUGCCUGACGUUUUAGAAACAUUUUGCGCAUAAAAUACAAAUCUCGGAAAUGGCUGAUCUCGAGUUUUAAAUUAUCUUCAGUAUUCGUGAUUGCUACAUUACGAGGCGGAAAAUGUUGAUGUCUAGAAUUGCAGAAAAUAUUCGAUCGUAAUUAGCUACAUAUGCUUGUGAAGGAUAAACAGAGAAGAUUAUAAAAACCUGAUGGCCUGAUUAAAUUCACCCAUCGAAAGUUUUGCCAGCAUACGUCAUUCACCGCCACUUACCCAACAAAUUUUCCAACACGUGAUAGUUUAACUAACAAUGUAUGAUAACUGUUUACUUGGGCUACAUGUAAUAAGUUAAAAUUAGAAGCAGAAUCGCAGCAAGGACUGGAAGAUUUCUAUUUAAUGCCAAAGUAAAGAACUUUCCACGUGCGUUAAUUUUCAGUUGAUCGGGCAUUGUCAUUGAAUAUUAAUGGACUGUAACGAAUGAAACGUAAAACGCGCAAUGUAAAAUACGUAACGAAUUUUUGCAGGAAACCGUAGAAAAUUUCCAAGCAAUUUCAAACAGUAGAAUUUUCUUUCAAUUACUUUUUAAUUACUAGGUUGUAUAAUACAGUUGAAGAAUAUUGUAAAGUAUUAUAAAUAUAACUGCGAUGAACAUACGAAUAAUAUGGGUCAAUAUCGUUUAUAAUUACAUAUUAUUUAAUGAAAGCAAUGAAAAAAAAAUUAUGAGCGUUUCAUAAAAGAAUCGUUUCUGAACCUAAUGCAGUAGAGAUUGUUACACUUUCGUUAAAAAAUUUAUCGGAAUAUCCUCUGCGCUAUUAAUAUUGAAAUAUCAACUGUUUUAAUGUUUGGAAAUUUUCUUUGCGUGUGAUUGUUAAAUAAUUUAAAAAAUGUAGAAACACGUGUAUUCCACAUUUCUUGAUAUAAAAGUAUAUAUAUAAAGUAAUAGUAUAUGCUUCGUUGAUGAAAUAAAACUUUUAGACAAACGUGGGCAAUUACCAUAUUUUAACCUAAACAACCUAAUACAGAGAAGUAAAUAAAUCUUUAUGAAUGUACGUAAUAUAGACGUCUAUUGGUUCUUAACGAGUUCAAUUUCGAAAGUAUCAUGUUCAUUCGCGUAAAACCUACAAGUAAAAUAAAAUGAAAUUAUCUUCGUUUAUCCGACUUUCAAAUCAACUCUUAAAUCUACUAGACCUUAAUAUUUUCACGUAACUCGACUCUCAUUUAGCAAGACAAUUUUCGCAAAUUAAUUUGAAUUUCCAUUAAACUCGCAAUAUCGAGAAUUCAUUUUAUAGAAAGAUGGAAAUAAAUUCUACGCGUCGUUAUAAAAUAACACUACGGUGAUCCUGGUUUUCGUACGGUGUAUCAGAAAAAUGUUCUAUUCAUUGGCUCCAAAUAUGAGAAUUUAUGCUCCACCGUUCACUCAUUGUUGACCAACGAGGCUGGUCAAAGUUUAGCUCUACAGUUUACAGUAUAACACACACGCGUGGAACGUUUCUGCUUUGAACAGAAACUUUAAACGUAUAUUCCCUUUAUACUUUGCAGUUUCAUUGCUAUUCGAUGAACGUCCGAGGAAACAGAAAAAUUUUCCGCCAGAAUCGUGGUCCCACGUAUAUAUCUACCAUUAUUAUUCAGCGCUAUUCUGUAUACUCUACGUUUGUUUUGAACUUGCGUAGCAAACAUCAAAUUCGAAUAAUCUUUCCUACCAGUCAUAGAGCAAAGUUCAAAAGAAAAUAACGGUAAUGUUAUGUUAUGUCUAUUAGCAAUCAACCAGCCCUCACUUUUCCAAGUUAUAUAUCACUUGGUGUCAGAUUGACAUGGCAAAAAAUCAUCACAGAUUAAUAUUCCAAGAUUAGAUUCGCGUCAUUGGCGAGUAACAAAUGAACGUGCUGAUCGUAUUUAUCGCAAUGCAUCGCUCCACGUUGCUGAAAAGUAAUGAAAUAUUGUUGAUAGUAACAUAGUCACGCUACUAUGUGUAGGAACCAGUUACUUUCACAUUUUCGUUUAGCGAGAAAUUAAUUAAAUCGACAGAAACUUUUGCUGUUCCGUAAAAUAAUACACGUCCAUAUUCAAUUUAAAGAUUAAUAUAAAUAGUUUGAAGAUUUGACUGAAUUAUCGUAUUUAGAGUAUGUUCGAAAUUGAAUAUCGACGUGCGUGUACAGAGUAGCGAAAUUUUCUCUUAAUUUCAUUGAAUCGCGCUAAACGUGAAAAAAGAAUUUGAAAUGUGAAAAAUAAUAGCGUAAAUAUUUGAUUUACUAUUUCAUGUUUAGAGUAUGUCUAAAAUAAAAUAUCGACGUACAUUUAUACAACAGCAACACUUUCUCUUAAUGUAAUUGUAUCUUACUAAAUGGGAAUGUGAAAAUAAACGCUUCCUACACACAGUAUACGCAUAUUUAUCAACGUUUAAACAUAGUCUAAAUAGUCCAAAUAUUUAGACACGGUAUACAAUAAUUUUUUAUCGUAUUGCAAGAAUAAAUUCUCACUAUUGAUAUGAUUCUUGUUAUUGAUACGAGUUCCAUAUUUUCAAGUGUUUUAUUAUCGUUAUUGUUUCUGCAAAAAGUAUAUUUGUAAAAAUUAUGAUUUAUAUAGUGGAGCUAUCUACAAAUCCAUAAACAUUGUAAAAUAUUCUUUUAGAAAAUAUAUUUGCCUGCAAUACGAUCUGUCUGUAAUAAAUUUCGUUAAAAUCGCGCAAUAAUAAUGGUAAGUUGAAAUUAGGCGGAUUAAUUUACGACUGAUCGCGUUGCUACUAAUACUUCAUUAUCAUAAUCACAGUUACAUAAUUCAUAAUUAUUUUUCAUAACCAUAAUUAUUAUUUCAGUAGAUUGUAUAAAUUUGCACAAGGGAAAGGAAUAGCAACAAAUAUUAAUUUAUAGAGAAAUUCUAAAGAAAUGCGUCUUAACAAUACAAAUACCCGAGACAUCGCAAAUUAAAUGCUUAUACCCGAUCGAUCAUCGAUAAAAUACCAAUCGGUAAAAUCUACUUUUCAGUUUCUUAGAACACACGCCUCUGUAAGUAUAAAAUAUAAAAUACAAAGUAGAAAAUUUGUCCUUAUUUCGCCAUUUAAUUUUCCAUUCGCCAACAUCUUAUAAAUAGUCGAUAUGAAUCGAUCGCGAUUAAAGGCAAAGGACAGUUAAUGAAAUAACGAAAUCUGGAAGUUGCAGCAAUUGAACAAGUUCGAACGUUCCUCGAAGGCAUUUUACAGUUUUCCGACGUGGAGAACGCCGGUUCGACCUGUCUUAGGAAGCCUAUCGGAAACGUUAGUUUAUCACGGCGUGUUCCAGUUCGUGUCAAUUGCUCUAAAUUCAGGACGAGGCUGGAUCAGGGCUAGGGUAGCUAACUGGAUUGUAGGAAUUCAGGCUAAUACGAGUCUAUCAAAUUAUUCCGUCGGCCAGUCGCACGCGUUGUGACUCCUGCAGCAUCUUGUUGUCGGCUUUAACCCGACAAUUUUCAUCUGCGGAUAUCUGCUCUAUGUGUUCCUGCGGUGUUGACGUAGCGCGUUCGCUUCUGUGUACAAAUAUUCUGGCGAAAGAGUCGGCUCUGGUUUUAUAAAGUAGGAUUUAAGAAAUGUCAGAUAAAUCUUUCUUAGUGUUUAAACCAGCUUUGAUGUAUUUCGAGGUGGAUGUUUUCUUAAACAGCGAUUCCGGCGAUUUAUAACGUGGAUUUAAAUAUACACCGGACUUGUACGAAGACAUACAGUGACAAAUAAAAGUUAGAUUGCAGAAAUGAAGAUAAUUAAGUAUACCAUUGGUGAUUAAUUGGCUAUAGAUGCAGUGCCGUGAAUAAUUUUCCACUGGAACACGUUCCCUUAGUAUUAUUUUUUCGAUGUCUUCAGGAAACCACCGAUCGUGUUUUGAUAUGUUUGUUCAAAUAAAAGAUAAAGGCAAUUUUUCAACGAGACAAUGCUCCUAUUCAUCUUGUCACCGCUACAAAAAAGUGGUUCCAAGAUUUUGGAACGGAAUCGUCACCGUGACUAACUUUGUGUCCUGAUCUGAACUCGAUCGAGAACCUGUGAGAAACGAAGAUUUAAAUAAAUUAGUGGAUAGUGUAAUGGAAAUAAUCAAAGACAACAUGUUUUCUCACAGCGAAAAACAAUGUUAGGAGAAAUUUUCAUUGUUUCUAGACUUGAAGAGAACACAAUUUUCGUCUGUUGUAUCUUCAUUUUUGUUUCACGUUACAACGUGAAAUAAUAUUAACGACUUGCUCAAUCUUUCUUUUAAUAUUAUGAAAGAUCUAAAAAUACAUUUGAAUUUAUAAUUAUUAACAGCACUGUAUAUUAAAUGUACAAGACGCAAUUGAAGUUAUAUAAAUCUGCAAAAUUCUGUAUAAUAUGUAUACGAUGCAAUAAUAAUAAUAACAAGACUAAGAUAAUAGUAAGAAUAAUAGGUUUCAAACAAAGAUGCUACAAUCUGCGAUGAUAUUAUUUUAUUGGAAUCUUUCGCGUGGCGUGUUGAAUACGCCAGAAACAGACAAUAAUGUGAAAUGUGAAAUCUGAAAACGAUUAGAUCUUGCUAAAUUAUUCACUGUCGUCGCUAUAUUUAACCGGGUUCAUCGAACCUAUACAUAGUACAUACAUCGGACGUGCUUCAAAUACAAAGAAGGCUUCAGCUCAUAUCCGAAAGGCAUGUGUAAUAGAAAAUUAAUUUUCCAAUAAAGUCUUCCGAUAAAAGCGUCGAACGAAAGAGCGCGAAUCCAUCGUAAAAAAGAUAUAGAAUUUUCGUAUGUAAGUGUAAUAAAAACGUAAGGUAACCUGAAACGUAAACCUCACUUAGAGAAACGCUACCAUUCGAUAUUAAUUCAAAUAUUUGUAACAGCAGCAAAAAUCGUUUACCACACUUUUCACCGAAAUUCUUUGCGUUUGGAAGAUUUUGUAAAACGUUUAAAAAACGAAGCCACGUUCAAGAUUAAAUUAUUUUCGACGAAAAAAGUGCGAUACCGCCGAAGAAAUGCAAAGGCCUCGACCUAGCGUCUGAAUGUAGGUCAGCUGUAAACUUGAAGUUGCGACUGUAAAUUUCUUAAGCUUGCCGAAUCGUAAAGAGAAGCGGCAUUAAAUAUUCGUAGGCCAGACACAGUCGGUGCGGUUUAAAAAUUUGAAAAGCUCGACGAACGGGAUAUAAACGGCAGGUGAGAGAACGAAUUUCUCGAGAAUUUGUUAUGUCGGUUGUCAAUUUCGGCUGCAAUACGCAUGUAACCGUCGUGGAUGCUGCGGAGCGUGGAAAAUAAAAAGAAAAAUGCUUUGGAAAACAUCAAUUUAUCAAGACACGCGGCCGAAGUGCUGCUUUUGACGUGGCCGCACCCGUUGAAUUUUCGACGUGCGGUGAAACAUGAAGUUUUCAGGCUGCACGUUGUUUAGGAAACUGAAUAUCAUGCCUCGUUUUCGCGCCCAAGUGGCUAGUUUCUCGGAAGCCACGUGUGAUUGACGUUUUGAUAUUUCGCUGAGAUUGCACCUUUCAUUUCUCUUCUUUCGUAUCGUAUCGAAGACGCAUGACGUUUUUCAGUUUCACGCGAGAUUCAAUUGGUUUUCUUUGCGAUAUGCGGGAUUACGUUUUUUUUUUUAAAACAUAGCAACAGCGGAACUUGAUCUUCGAUACGCGCGCUUGUUUCUUGUUAGUACGUUCGGAAGAAUGUCGUAGAAAUGACAUGUCGUAUGACGAUGAUAUUGAUAUUAUUGAAUUAUUUUUCUGUUGCAACCAACUAGAUGAACGAUAAAAAUAACCCACGUGAAAAUUCUUGACGAAUGGCUACGAGACGAUUCUGUUCUUCUAUACUUCCAGAAUUUAUUUUCCUUCCUCCAAUACGAUACGUCAUUGAUGGAGAAAAAUGAAAUAUUUUUACUGUUGAAGGUAUUGAGUUAAUUGAUACGGAAAUAUGAGGAAUUGUUGUUAGUACCAAAGUUAUCGAAUUAAUCAAUGGAGAAACGCGAGACAAAUGGGUAUGAAACCCAUUCUGUUCUUUUAUGUUUGUAGAAUAUAUUUUCCUUCCUCGAAUAUGAUACAUCAUCGAUAGAAAGAGAUGAAGUAUUUUUACUGUUGAAGAUAUUGAGUUAAUUGAUACAGAAAUAUGAGGAAUUAUCGUUGUUCACAUCAAAGUUAUUGAAUUAAUAAAUAGAGAAAUAUGAGAUAUUGUUACUAACAUCGAAUAGUUAACUGUUACAGAAAUACGAGUAAUUAUUGUUAUCAUCAAGGUUAUUGAAUUAAUUACUAAAGAAAUAUGAGGCAUUGCUGUUGACAUUAAAUGGUUAAAUGAUACGGAAAUAUGAGAAGUUAUUCUUAUUAGCAAUUAAACUUAAUUUCCCAAUACAGUGUAUACACGUGCAAUAAAAUAUGUAAAAAGGAACUAGCGAUUAGGAGAAACAUUAAACAAAUCGUUGAAACUGUUACGUAAAACUAUCGGAUAACCGAGAAUUAUGUAAUAAAACCAAAGUAAGCUAGUUCUUCUAUUCUUCCGCUCGCUGUGUUGCAAGCUGGUCACGUUUUCGAUAAAUAGAACUUCGCGGUCUCGAUGGAUUUCUCAUGAUAGAACGCGAACGGUUAAAAAGAAAAAAAAAAAAAGAAA